CGGGUGAGUAAUGGAUAAGUAACCUGCCCUUAAGUGGGGGAUAACACUUCGAAAGAAGUGCUAAUACCGCAUGUGGUGCUCUUUCACAAGAAGGAUCACUAAAACCGCAAGGUGCUUGAGGAGGGGCUUGUCUCCGAUUAGCUAGUUGGUGGGGUAACGGCCUACCAAGGCGAUGAUCGGUAGCUGGUCUGAGAGGAUGGUCAGCCACACUGGGACUGAGACACGGCCCAGACUCCUACGGGAGGCAGCAGCAAGGAAUCUUGGGCAAUGGGCGAAAGCCUGACCCAGCGACGCCGCGUGAGGGAUGACGGCCUUCGGGUUGUAAACCUCUUUUCUCAGGGAAGAAUAGUGACGGUACCUGAGGAAUAAGUCUCGGCUAACUACGUGCCAGCAGCCGCGGUAAUACGUAGGAGGCGAGCGUUAUCCGGAUUUAUUGGGCGUAAAGUGGGCGUAGGUGGUCUUUCAAGUCGGAUGUGAAAUCUCCCGGCUCAACUGGGAGGGGUCAUCCGAUACUGUUGGACUUGAGUACAGCAGGGGAAAAUGGAAUUCCCGGUGUAGUGGUGAAAUGCGUAGAUAUCGGGAGGAACACCAGAGGCGAAGGCGAUUUUCCAGGCUGAAACUGACACUGAGGCCCGAAAGCGUGGGGAGCGAACAGGAUUAGAUACCCUGGUAGUCCACGCCUUAAACUAUAAAUUUGUAUAGGA
rnacentral:rRNA from 1 species